rfam:Nicotiana attenuata strain TT chromosome 11, whole genome shotgun sequence.
AUAAAUCUGAAUAAAGCGGAAUGGUGCAGAGAAUUAUCUGUUCUUAGCUUCUUAUCAGUUUAAUAUCUGAUAUGUGGGUCAUCGGCUCACACGAUAUUAACUCAAUUUUUUAAGGGGGAAGGUCCACUAGGGUAGCUUGCUAUCCGGUCCUUCGCGCGUCGCCUAGGCGUUGCACUACAGUCUAGGCCUUGCGCACCGCAC